AUUGAACGCUAGCGGGAUGCUUUACACAUGCAAGUCGAACGGAGUGGCGGACGGGUGAGUAAUAUAUCGGAACGUGCCCAGUAGCGGGGGAUAACUACUCGAAAGAGUGGCUAAUACCGCAUACUAUUUGCGCGGCCGAUAUCGGAUUAGCUAGUUGGUGGGGUAACGGCUCACCAAGGCAACGAUCCGUAACUGGUUUGAGAGGACGAACAGCCACACUGGGACUGAGAAAGGGCACAGAACCAUACGGGAGGCAGCAGGGGGGAAUUUUGGACAAUGGGGGAAACCCUGAGCCAGCCAUCCGGCGUGUAUGAUGAAGGCCUUCGGGUUGUAAAGUACUUUUGGCAGAGAAGCGGUAUCUGAAGAAUAAGCACCGGCUAACUACGUGCCAGCAGCCGCGGUAAUAC
rnacentral:rRNA from 1 species